AUAGCCAUUGAUUUCUAAUCUUCUAUAAACGCACAUAUCUACAUAGGUGUAUUUUGAUCCCAUUUUCUCUCCUUUUCUCUUCUCUGUUUUUCGUUAUCAAGUGUUGAGAAGAAGAAAGCGGCUUUUGUUUGAGAAAAAGGGUUUGGUGUUCCAGUGAUUUUAUGUCGAGAAGUUCUGAUUUGGAUGUUGUUUUUGGGUCUUCAUUGAAUCUCUAUUUCUCUGUUCCUUCUUCUUCGACUGUUCUGUGCAUGCAACAAUCCAUCUUCUGUGCACUCCAGAAGAGAACCCCCAUCUUUCCUCCAUUUUUUUCGAUGCGUUUGAGGCCCAAAAGGACUUGUUCUGGAGGAGAGAGUUUUGGGGGAUUUCACAUAAAGAGAUUAAAUUUGUUCUUGCUCUUGAGAGG